rnacentral:rRNA from 1 species
AUGAGGAUUCGGGGGCUGGCGAUGAGCGGCGGCAGGGAGGUGGCCAUCUCCGCCGUCUUCACGGCGCUCCUCGUCGUCUCCAUCCUCUUUCUCCCCUCGGUCCUGCUCACCAGCGGCAGGCUCGGCCCAUCGUCCGCCAAGGAGUGGCCGUUCCUCGCGGCGGCCAAGGACGGCGGCGGCUACCCGGUGUCGUUCGCGUACCUCAUCUCUGCGUCGACGGGGGACGCGGAGCGAGCGGCAAGGCUGCUGGCGGCGCUGUACCACCCGGCCAACAGCUACCUGCUGCACCUGGACCGUGAGGCCCCCGCCGAGGAGCACCGCCGGCUGGCUGGGCUGGUGUCCGGGCAGCCCGUGUACGGGCGCGUGGGGAACGUGUGGAUCGUGGGGAAGCCCAACCUGGUCACCUACCGCGGGCCGACCAUGCUGUCCACCACUCUCCACGCCAUGGCGGUGCUCCUCCGCGUGGGCCGCCGCUGGGACUGGUUCGUCAACCUCAGCGCCUCCGACUAUCCGCUCGUCACCCAGGACGAUUUGAUGGAGGCCUUCUCGCGGCUGCCGAGGGAUCUCAACUUCAUACAGCACACCAGCCACCUGGGCUGGAAGAUAAAGAAGCGGGCGCGGCCGGUGAUCCUGGACACGGCGCUGUACGAGGCCGACCGGUCGGAGCUCCUCCGCCCGUCGCCCAACAUCACCACCAACCGCCGGGGACUUCCCACCGCCUUCAAGCUCUUCACCGGGUCGGCGUGGACGAUGCUGUCGCGGCGCUUCGCGGAGUACUGCGUGGUGGGGUGGGACAACCUGGCGCGGACGCUGCUGCUCUACCACGCCAACCUCGUCUCCUCGCCGGAGUUCUACUUCCAGACGGUGGCCUGCAACUCCCGCGAGUUCCGGAACGCCACCGUCAACAGUGACCUGCAUUUCAUCCGGUGGGACACGCCGCCCAAGCAGCACCCGCUCUACCUCGGCCCCAAGGACUACCGCCGGAUGGUGCUCAGCAGCGCCGCCUUCGCCCGCAAGUUCAGGGACGCCGACCUCGUGCUCGACAGGAUCGACCGGGAGAUCCUCAAGCGCCGACCGCCGCCCCGCGACGACAACGACGAUCACGCCGAUCACGCUGCCUCUGCCUCUGCUGCUAGGCACGGCGGGCAGUUCUUCAGCUACGGCGGGUGGUGCUCCGAGGGGGUGGUGGGGCUGUGCUCCAACCCCUGGGAACCCAGCAGGAAGGGGGCCAUCAAGCCCGGCGCUGGGUCAAGAAGGCUCAGGGUCAUGCUCAACAAGAUGUUGUCCGGAAGAAACUUCAGGAAGCAGCAGUGUAGAUGA